GUACCUGUUGGAAAUAAAUGCAGAUGUAGGUGGUCACCCUCACAGCACAUUGGGGCCACAGCUUGGAAGUCCCCUGGCCACUGUGUCACCUCGGACCUAGGAUGCCUUUCCAUUGAGACAUUCAGAUGGCCUUAGUGCCACAGAGGGACGAGGUCCGUGGACAUUCUGGUCUCCAGCUUUCCAGGAAACGGGAGGCUCCUGGCAGCGCCCUGGCUGCCAAGACAAGGCUCCUCCAAGCCUGGCUGACUCAGCAUAUUCUCCAGGCUUCUGCUGAGACACCCCUUCCCGGUGAUGGCCCCUCUGGAGUCCCUGUCAUGGGAACUUGUGUGUGGGAUGCUUCCUUCUCUUUCACGGCAUUGUCUGUGCGGGUUCUGCCUGAGCACAUGAAGUGCGUUCACUGUGCCCAGCAUGGUGCCUGGUACACACAGGGCUCAACGCGCUCCAUUUGAAGGCUGUCUGGAGCCCCCUACACUGGGCCCAGGUGGAUCUUAUCAAUUCACUCAACAAAUAUUUGCUGAACUCCCAUCUGGGCUGGCUCUGCCUGUGAGGCUAGGAACGUCAAAAGGAACCCAGGCAGCCAACCCUCCAGGACCUUGGGGUGGUGUGAAGGCCCCAGAUUUCUGAAAGUGGAACAAAGCCAGACCCUGUGGCCGCCACCUUCUGGCCAACCUCAGAUGGAGCCUUCCAGACACAUCAACUCCCAGGGCUGUGGAAAGAAAAGAUGGAGUCUCUACCUGGCCGGUGCCAUGACACCUGCACACGUGGCAACAAAGAAAAGGGAAGAGAAAGACUCCAUGUUGACUCUACCUGGCUCCCAGGUAUCCCUUCUCUAUCGGCACGGCUGCCGACUUCGCCUGUGCAAGUUUCCAGCUUGCUUACCUAUGCUUGCAGCUUGAUUUUUCAGGCCGCUUUUUGUUA
rnacentral:lncRNA from 1 species